ACAUCGGAUGUUAUGAGACAGCCGUUGUGGACACCAUUAAGAGCAACAACUUUUCAUCCAGCAUAAUAACCAUACUGAGGAUGAAUCACACAAAAGUUCCCAAUUGACAUCUUCCGACAUUUUAUCCCAUUAGGUCCUUGAAAAAAAGACAUAAGAAAUUUAAAAAAAAUUGUGAGUAAUAUAAGUACAUUUAGUAUAUGGAUUUUAUAUUUAGUAAAAAUUUCAUUAGGACUUACGUUUAGGACAACAAACGUCAUGCUCGACGUUGCAUUUAAAAUUUCCUUGACAAGAUCCAUUAUAACAUUUCACCAAAGUCUUUUUCAUGCUGUGUUGGGGAGGCCCAUAUGCGCAUGCUGUGGGUGGAAUAACUGUUCUUCCGGCCAUAAACUCUGUAGAAAAAAGUUUGUUGGUUUGCGAUCGUAAAAAUCUGUUUUAUUGUUGAUAGUAAAUGUCUUCGUAAAAAUAUUUUUUAAGUUGAGCGCUUUUCACUUACAAUUAUUUACACAAGCUAUUUACACCAACAGAUGACAAUACACGUAUCUUAAUUGUU
rnacentral:sRNA from 1 species